UACGAAGGGGCUAGCGUUGCUCGGAAUUACUGGCGUAAAGGGAGCGUAGGCGGGUUAUCAAGUUGGAGGUGAAAGCCCAGGCUCAACCUUGGAAUUGCCUUCAAACUGAUAGCCUAGAGUAUGAUAGAGGUAUGUGGAACUCCGAGUGUAGAGGUGAAAUUCGUAGAUAUUCGGAAGAACACCAGUGGCGAAGGCGACAUACUGGUCAUGACUGACGCUGAGCUCGAAGCGUGGAGCAACAGG
rnacentral:rRNA from 1 species